AUGAAAAGGGAGGUACUGGCUCUCAAACAAAAUGAUUUACUUGAUGAAAUUUACUGGAAGUUUGAUAAUUCUGGUAUAUAUUCAACCAAAUCAAUGUACAGAUGGUUGGAAAACGAUAUUGCUGGUUCCAAUUUCAAAUGGAUUUGGGAUGCUAAACUCCCCUUGAAAAUACAAAUCUUCUUAUGGCAAGUGGGGCAAAAUGCCAUUUUGACUAGAGAUAAUAUGAAAAAAAGAGCUUGGCCCGGAAACCCCUGUUGCUCCUUUUGCAACCAAUUGGAAACAACCUCGCACUUGUUGUUCCUGUGUCCGGUGUCUAGAGUAAUCUGGAGAACUGUAGGGGCUCUUCUUGGGACGGAUUUCUGUCCUAAUUCCAUCUGGCAGUAUUACACCUGGAUGUACAGCUUCCUACCUGGUUUUGAAAAAAAAAAUACUGUGGGCUUGGCAGCGAUAUGCUGGGCCAUAUGGCUAGCCCGGAACAGAGCUACUUUUGAACGCAAAUGGAUUAAUUCUCCUUUUGAGAUCGUGUUCACAGCUUGCGCCUUUCUAAUAUAUUGGGCAGGUCUUCAGAAACCUAGGAUGGAAGAGAUGGUGAAGAAGGGAGCGGAGAUGCUGAAAGCGAAUACUACUCAGAUGAUGCUGCUGUGUGGACCUCCUCCGGCGCCAAACAUGGACGGGCGCGACUGA
rnacentral:rRNA from 1 species